UACGAAGGGGGCUAGCGUUGCUCGGAAUCACUGGGCGUAAAGCGCACGUAGGCGGAUCUUUAAGUCAGGGGUGAAAUCCUGGAGCUCAACUCCAGAACUGCCCUUGAUACUGGGGAUCUUGAGUCCGGAAGAGGUGAGUGGAACUCCGGGUGUAGAGGUGAAAUUCGUAGAUAUUAGGAAGAACACCAGUGGCGAAGGCGGCUCACUGGUCCGGUACUGACGCUGAGGUGCGAAAGCGUGGGGAGCAAACAGG
rnacentral:rRNA from 1 species